UCUAUUUAGAAGCAGAUUCACCAAUUUGUGGCAAACAGGUGAAAUAUCUGAAAGAGCAAGACCAAAGGGACUGCAGUAUGCUGUCGAAGGAUGUAUCCACGACAUAAUAUGAAACCGAUUAGAGAAUAAUGUAAUCAAAAUUGAAGCUGAAGUCCCAACAGAACCAGCAGCCGCCUCAUACGCUGACCAUUCAAAUGGGAAACACACACAUUGGCAAACAGCUAUGUUCAUGCACAUCAAGGUGGGUGAAAU